UGAAGUAUGACACGUCGAGAGGUUGCA
rnacentral:piRNA from 1 species